GGGCCUAUAGCUUAGUGGUAAAGCGCAUGCAUGGCAUGCAUGAUAUCGGGGUUCGAUUCCCCGUAGGUCCACCA
rnacentral:tRNA from 1 species